UACGAAGGGAGCUAGCGUUGUUCGGAAUCACUGGGCGUAAAGCGCACGUAGGCGGAUGUGUCAGUCAGGGGUGAAAUCCCGGAGCUCAACUUCGGAACUGCCUUUGAUACAGCACAUCUGGAGUCCGGAAGAGGUGGGUGGAAUUCCUAGUGUAGAGGUGAAAUUCGUAGAUAUUAGGAAGAACACCGGCGGCGAAGGCGGCCCACUGGUCCGGUACUGACGCUGAGGUGCGAAAGCGUGGGAGCAAACAGG
rnacentral:rRNA from 1 species